GGUGAGAGCCGGGGUGCCGAAAGGGAACGGGAACACAGGUGCUGCAUGGCUGUCGUCAGCUCGUGUCGUGAGAUGUUGGGUUAAGUCCCGCAACGAGCGCAACCCUUGUCAUUAGUUGCUACAUUCAGUUGGGCACUCUAAUGAGACUGCCGGUGACAAACCGGAGGAAGGUGGGGAUGACGUCAAGUCCUCAUGGCCCUUAUGGGUAGGGCUUCACACGUAAUACAAUGGCGCGUACAGAGGGUUGCCAAGGAGCGAUCUGGAGCCAAUCCCGCAAAGCGCGUCGUAGUCCGGAUUGCAGUCUGCAACUCGACUGCAUGAAGUCGGAAUCGCUAGUAAUCGCGGAUCAGCAUGUCGCGGUGAAUACGUUCCCGGGUCUUGUACACACCGCCCGUCACACCAUGGGAGUGGGUUUCACCAGAAGCCGGUCGCCUAACCGCAAGGGGGGCGCCGACCACGGUGAGAUUCAUGACUGGGGUGAAGUCGUAACAAGGUAGGCGUAGUGCU
rnacentral:rRNA from 1 species